UGGGGAAUAUUGCACAAUGGGCGCAAGCCUGAUGCAGCCAUGCCGCGUGUGUGAAGAAGGCCUUCGGGUUGUAAAGCACUUUCAGCGAGGAGGAAGGGUUCAGUGUUAAUAGCACUGUUCAUUGACGUUACUCGCAGAAGAAGCACCGGCUAACUCCGUGCCAGCAGCCGCGGUAAUACGGAGGGUGCAAGCGUUAAUCGGAAUUACUGGGCGUAAAGCGCACGCAGGCGGUUUGUUAAGUCAGAUGUGAAAUCCCCGCGCUUAACGUGGAACUGCAUUUGA
rnacentral:rRNA from 1 species